AUUGAACGCUGGCGGCAGGCCUAACACAUGCAAGUCGACCGAGGGGGGGAAGGGUGAGUAAUGUCUGGGAAACUGCCUGAUGGAGGGGGAUAACUACUGGACAGGGUAGCUAAUACCGCAUACCAUCGGAUGUGCCCAGAUGGGAUUAGCUAGUAGGUGGGGUAAAGGCUCACCUAGGCGACGAUCCCUAGCUGUUCUGAGAGGAUGACCAGACACACUGGAACUGAGACACGGUCCAGACUCCUACGGGAGGCAGCAGUGGGGAAUAUUUGACAAUGGGCGAAAGCCUGAUCCAGCCAUGCCGCGUGGGUGAAGAAGGUCUUCGGAUUGUAAAGCACUUUUAGUUGGGAGGCGUUACCAACAGAAUAAGCACCGGCUAACUCCGUGCCAGCAGCCGCGGUAAUUC
rnacentral:rRNA from 1 species